rnacentral:rRNA from 1 species
CACGUAGGGCGCAAGCGUUGUCCGGAAUUAUUGGGCGUAAAGAGCUCGUAGGCGGUCUGUUGCGUCUGCUGUGAAAACUCGGGGCUUAACCCCGAGCCUGCAGUGGAUACGGGCAGACUAGAGGUAGGUAGGAGAGAAUGGAAUUCCCGGUGUAGCGGUGAAAUGCGCAGAUAUCGGGAGGAACACCGGUGGCGAAGGCGGUUCUCUGGGCCUUACCUGACGCUGAGGAGCGAAAGCGUGGGGAGCGAACAGG